UUUUUUUGGAAUCUUUUAUAAAUAUAUAAGUAUUGGUUUUUUUUUGGUGGUCUCGGACUAGUCAAUUGAAGUGUUAAUGUUUACGCGCUUCACAGCACUAGUGAGCACCGUUACUUGAAAUUAAGUGCGUAUUGCAAAAAAAAUUUCUGAGGGCGUCAUUUGCGUUUUGCGUGCUUAGAAAAUUCCCGAUCAGAUUUUUGUUGGGAUAGGUAAGCGGUGUAGAUUAUAUUUAUAUCAACCAUUAGGUCGGCGUUGUUCUUAUAACCGAACAGAAAAUCGACUUGUGAAUCACAAUCAGAAAAAUGGAGAGACCGAUCGGAAUGCAGUUUUGGAAAGUCUGAACUCGGUUGACAUACCAUAAACCCACUCCAGUCACCAAACAAUCUUGGCAAAAUAUAUGAGGAUAUCGAGUCCGAUGUGCAAUUCAUUAUUAAGACACGCAUACGUGAGCGUCCAAUAAAGGCCCCCGAAUGUGUUCGCUGCCACCAGUACUUCCAUGGACGCCUUGCCGCAAUAUGCGAAAAGCAACCAGCGGUGAAUUCUGGCCUAGGUUUCUCUUUACUGUUGGAAAUGGUCAAACAUCACAUCAGGCGAGUGUUUCUACUGUAAGGCGGAUCACGCCAAGAUGUGGAACCUGGGAUGAGAUCCGUAAGAUCAUGGGCACUGAAGUUUGAUACUCGCCACCAGCCCACUUAAUCUAUGUUUCAAAAAUGUAUUGAUCGUGUUGAAAUUGGUCAGUGUCUAGUCAAAUAAUUGAUCUUUAACCUAUAUAACAAAAUCGUCCGACACCCACGAGCACACAGGCCAGGGCUUCUCCUCUUCGGAGCGACAUUUAUGAAGUGCUCAAGUGUCGUCGUUGGCCGCUCACAUUAGCUGGGGCAAAAAGGAAAUGCAACACGGGCAUGACUGCUAUAAACCCUUAUGGCCUAGUCACACCAGCUUGACACUGCAGCCCCGCACGAGAAGCAUCAGCACACCCCAGCGGAGUGACUUAACGCUAAAGAGGAAUUUUAAACGCCUUCAGCACCUUUUGACGGAACGACUGCUGCAGGAUGAGAUCAGCAGAAGCUUUGUCAGCGCACUGACACUGGGUUGUGGCCACUUCCAGCUGAGUCAUUUUGGUGCGGAUUCAAUGCUCAGCUCUCAGCGGCAGCGCCCCCCCAUUCAAAUCAGCGAACAAAUUCAUGUCACCGAUAACAAUUCAAUCACUUAAGAGUUCAACACAUUUUGGAAUCGCUUUACAAUGCCCCAAGAGCACCCCAUGGGUCCAACUUGCAAGUUGUACCCGCCGGACACAUUGCGGUGUCGUCCUAGCUCCUUCUGGGCACAACUCUUGCUGUUUCGUCAACAACUUGCAAAUCCAUUCAAUGGAUUCACUUCUGCUUCUGCUUCAACUUUUACUACUUCUUAGAGAUCCGCAUUCUGGUGCUUCAACAAGCGGCUCUUGGCUCCUGAUAAAUCAAUGCUGCAGUGGAUAGGACGAAGCCUCUGGCCUGGCUCUCUGCUGCUCUCGACUUCGUUUUGUCUUCGACUUGAAUGGGGUCGAAAUCGUUGCUAUUAAGUCCGCCCAGGACUUUAUUUGGCUUGCACUUGAGCAUAAGUUAUAAUGAUCUGUAUCUGUAUGGAAAGCCGUGCUUGUACUGCCAUUUUGUGCCUCAAUAGCUGUACUUAACAGGUAGAAAACUUGACAAAUGCUUGUGGAGCUGCUAUAGGUGUACGACAUGAAGUAAAGGACUUAUGCAUAGCUUGUGUGGACUUGUAAAAUGCGUUAAGACUUUUUAGCGCGGCAUCACUAGAAGAAGUCCAUCUUCUCUAAAAAGGUGAUUUUAACCAUAAAAAAACGUGUAAUAUUCAUUGUAUUAUAUUAUAUUAUGGACUUUUUCUCGUUCUUCCGCGGUUUGCAAGGCAUGACAAACAUUUGAGGGACAAUAUGCAGCCAUUUGGGCAUACCGAAUGCUGACUACGAGUAUCUAUCCGGCCAUCGUCGUACAAAUUAUACCAGAACACGCUGCUACCCUUUCGGGGGAAAAUCGAGA